UAUGCAGACAGUGAUCGUUUUCAGGAUAAAACUAACAACAAAGCUCUGCUCUCCAUGAGUGCAGUCAGAGACAGUGGUAUCUUUAGCCACAUUAGCUGUACAACAUGCUAACGAGCACAUACGGAAACGCGAUUUGGAAACAUUGAAAAAAAAAAUACAAGGCGAUUCUUACUUGUUCUGCAUAUGAUGUUUAAGCAUGAACAAUUGGUACUGACCCAUCUUUCAUAAUCAGCUUCUGCACAAAACCUGUGUUUAAACACUUGUUUACUAAAAUUCACACACACAUAUACAUGCGCAUAUAUAUAUAUAUAUAUAUAUAUAUAAGACUCUUCGGCACAUUUCCUUCCAUAAAUUAAAUUAAUCCACAGUGUUCUCCGUUGCUCAGAUGCAGAGUGUCUUUGUCAUUUGUCCAUCCAAAUACAUUUGUAAUGUUUAUGUGGCACAAUCAAAAUGUAAAUAGGAGCCAUAGCAACAAUAUAAACAUGGCUGACAAUGCGAGUAGCUGCACAUUGUCACCAGUCAUGGGCGGGGCUUACCCCUACAGUGUACUUCAAACACUGCUUCUGAUUUAUGGAGAUUAUAAAAAAAGAAAUGGAUGGAUUUGUACCAUUAUAGGCUGGUUGUUUAAACACACUGUGGACACACAUCAGUGUUCAAACGGCAUGCAACAGUGAAUUUUGCACCUUUUUUCGAAAUCCUCUCAAACAUCUGUUUGGUGAAUUUCGACCUCGAAAUUCCGUGAAAAGUGUGGUUUGCUUUACGGCAGCCACAAAUUCAUGUUAUCCAACGUAAUUACUACAGUGACAUACGUUUUUUUGUUUUUUACUUGUUAUUAUCAUUAUAGAUGUUGUUGCUGUUGCUGUGUCAAUAAUCAAUAAACUGAAUCAUUGUACGAGUAAAUAUUUUCCUAGCUGUAUUCGUUUGGAUGGAAGUCAUCACAUACUUUUCCUUCAGUGAUUUCUGUAGCUGAACAGAUGGAGGUUGGCUUGGCUGCAGCUGAUGCCAUGCGCGGAACGGAGUAUGAAGCAGGAGCUGAUCCAGAUAUUCUUUAUCCAUUCAGCUUCUCUCGAGACGGGGCAUGUUUUGUUGGAAUCCUGUUUUCAGUUACAUUUGAGCUUCGGGACUGAGGAGAAUUUGCCUUUGAGCUUCUGGAGGAGCAGAUCCAGCCUGUAUGUAAAAAAGGCUUAUGUAGCCUACAUAUCGCAUCAUCAAGUCUGGGACAAAACAUUUCAUAGAGCACAGAUACAAAACCACAUUCAUGUAGCUAGUUACUCUGGACUUCUACUGCAUUGUUUCUCAACUGGGGUUUUUAAAAUAAGACAAAUCUUGUUUCUAAAUAAUCUUAAACAACUAAAAUUAAAACUGAAAACUGACUUUGAUCAUAUUUCUUUAUUCAUUCCAUCAACAACUGUCAUUUUUAUUUUAGAACCAGGUUUCUCACAGUUAAAAAACAAAAGGAAUUUUAAAAGAGAGAUUUCUAGACAUGGAAAAGUCAAGGAAAUUAAUAUAAUCUCAAAAGCUCUGUAUUUCUAGAAUGACUAUACAUUUUUCUAGUUAUGUUAAGCUUUAAAAUAUUGUACUUUUUUAUUUUAAUUAAAUAUUUUACUUAAGUAGUUUAAUAUAUUGACUCUCAUAGUUUCAGUAAAUGAAAAAGGCUCUCUGUCAUUACAGCAGAAGUUCCACAAUUAUGUUACCAUACGUGUGGUAACUUUGAAUCUACUACUGGGUGGCCGUGUUUGAUUUCCCAGUCCCAGUUACCAGUAUAAACAAAGAAAAUGAUAAAUAUCCCAAAUAUGAUACAGGACAGAUUAAUGAUACAUUAAUCAUUGAUACUGUAAAUCAUUCAGAAUUGUUUUUUAUGCUAUUUUACAUUAAUAAUCACAAAAUUUAAUCACCACAUAAUCAAAUGUACCAUUAAACUUAUCUUACCUUUUCACAUUACAUCCUGGCUCUUUUUGAGAACGGCACAUUAUUGGAAUUCAAUUUUUAUUUUGGGCUGAAAGCAUAAAUUAUAGGAGAGGUUAAAUCCUAAUUGACACAAAAAGGUGGUUUUUAUUUUUUCCACAGCAGAGGGCAGUAUUGGUCUUUGCUCAGUUCAAGACUGCCAUCUCAUUAUGACAAAGUGUGUUUGUAUUGGACAUAUUCAGUGGACCUGUUGCAUUCUCUUCUGUUUUUGUUGUUGACACAUAUUUCAUAAUUGCUUUAUUCAGUCCAUGGACAUGUUUUAGUUUAUCCCUGUCUUAUUGGAACCAAACCAGCUCAUCUGAAACUACAAACAGUCAGGUUGGCUGAGAUGCAGGCAAGAAACUCAAACAAUGGCAAGCACAUGUGAUUGUCUGUAACGGAAACGUGAUUACAUUAGCCACCAUUAAAAUGUGCAUUGAUAAUCAAAGAAUUCUAUACAAGCUUUCAGGGAGUGAUUAAACACCACAUUCAGACUCAGUAUUUUCAUUAGUUUGAAAUAAUGUCAGCCAUUCGUCCUUAAUUAAUUUGACUUAUGAUCUCGGGCUGUAAUUAGGGAUAUCUAGGUUCACUCAUAAUGCACUGAAUUUUAAGAGUGUUAUUUAAAGCAACAGAGUGCUUGUGAUACUUGAAAAACUUGUAAAAGAAGUGAAAUGGAAAUUUCCAUUGUGUUGUUGGAGAUUACAUCUCUCCAUCGCCAAUACUCUCAUCCAUCUUUAGGAAUGUGAUUGAUUAGUCUGCAUAUCCCAGCUUGUCCAUCAAUUAAUUUAUAUUCCAUUUGUCUGUAUGACCAACACAUCUCUAUUAAUCUUUGCUAGCACUCUCACUGUUUUCCUGGACUCUUGCUUUAAAGUAUGGAAGUGAUCAAUGGCCCAAGGUUUUGUGU
ensembl:lncRNA